AUCCAGCCGAUGAGUCCCAAAUAGGACGAAAUGCACAUCAAACUGAAU
rnacentral:hammerhead_ribozyme from 1 species